rnacentral:rRNA from 1 species
UACGUAGGGGCUAGCGUUAUCCGGAUUUACUGGGCGUAAAGGGUGCGUAGGCGGGACUGUAAGUCAGGGGUGAAAUACUGCAGCUUAACUGUAGCAUUGCCUUUGAAACUGCCGUUCUUGAGUACAGUUGAGGUAGGCGGAAUGUGGUGUGUAGCGGUGAAAUGCAUAGAUAUACCACAGAACGCCGAUUGCGAAGGCAGCUUACUAAGCUGUUACUGACGCUGAGGCACGAAAGCGUGGGGAUCAAACAGGAUUAGAUA